rnacentral:lncRNA from 1 species
AUGCACAAAUGGAGGGAUAUUUGGAGCAGCUGCAAAAGCUCUAUUAUGGAUAACAAAAUAGGCAAGUGAAUCUCAAACUCUUUAAGGUUAAAUACUCACUUGGGUGAGACUUAACAACGUAACAAUAGACUACAAUAAUGAAGUUAAUACCUCUUUCCCCCUUGUCACCCUUACUCUCAGCUUUUGGAAAGGGGCAAGCUGGUAUUUUCUCCUCCUCCCACUGCUGAAAGGAAGGCCUGCCUGUCUACUCUGCCCUCCCUCCAGAUCCCAUGGGCAAGGUCCACCCUCUACUCUGGCACUGGAUCCCAGGCCCUCCUCUGUCAACCUCCCUCCUGAACACCCUGCCUUCCAGAGCACGGUAAGUGCUAAUGUGUCCCCAGCACCGAGUCUGCAUGCGCUAGAUUCAGAAGUGCAGCAAAUGCUUCCCAGGUCCUCCUUAUGAGCUCUUUCCUGGCAGCGGGCACAGGAGUGCAUGACUACC